UACGAAGGGGGGCUAGCGUUGCUCGGAAUGACUGGGCGUAAAGGGCGCGUAGGCGGAUGGCACAGUCAGAUGUGAAAUUCCCCGGGCUUAACCUGGGGGCUGCAUUUGAUACGUGUUGUCUUGAGUUCGGAAGAGGGUCGUGGAAUUCCCAGUGUAGAGGUGAAAUUCGUAGAUAUUGGGAAGAACACCGGUGGCGAAGGCGGCGACCUGGUCCGACACUGACGCUGAGGCGCGAAAGCGUGGGGAGCAAACAGG
rnacentral:rRNA from 1 species